GCUGGGUGUGGCGAUGUGCACCUGUAGUCCCAGCUACUCGGGAGGCUGAGGCAGGAGAAUUGCUUGAACCUGGGAGGCGGAGGUUGCAGUGAACCAAGAUCGCAGCACUGCACUCCAGCCUGGGUGACAGAGCAAGACUCUGUCUCUU
rnacentral:SRP_RNA from 1 species